UCCCUGGUGGCUCAAUGGUAAAGAACCUGACUGCAAUGCAGGAGACCCAGGUUCAAUCCCUGGGUUGGGAA
rnacentral:tRNA from 1 species